rnacentral:misc_RNA from 1 species
AUGCACUCCAUGGAUUUGGCACGAAGCAUACGGUUAGAUUUGUCUGUUGCAUUCACUAAUAUAGCCUUCAGGUACGGCAUCACCGCAUCAUAGUAUUUUUGGAAGUGCUCCUGGGAUGAGUCAGCAACUGAGGCCAAGGCAGUCAAGGCUCCCUCUUGCACCAUUUGUUUCCCAUUCUGUAAUAGUACAAGCAAUUUGCUCACUAUUCCAUCUAAGUAAGGAGCUAAAAUCUCUGGAGUACAGUUCUCACUAAAGUUGAGCACCGCUGAAGCAGCAUGUGCCUGCACCCGAGGAUUGGGGAAAUCAUCCAUUGCACUAGCAAGUGC